rnacentral:rRNA from 1 species
CCAGUUUUAAGUUUGAUCAUGGCUCAGAGCCAACGCUGNUACGGCGUGCUUAACACAUGCAAGUCGAACGGGUGUAGCAAUACAUCCGUGGCGAACGGGUGCGUAACACGUGGAUAACCUUCCUUCAGGUGGGGAAUAACCCAGUGAAAAUUGGGCUAAUACCGCAUAACAAUGCGAUGGCACAUGCUGUUGCAUUCAAAGGCGCAAGUCGCCAGAAGAGGGAUCCGCGGCCGAUUAGCUUGUUGGCGGGGUAACGGCCCACCAAGGCAAUGAUCGGUAGCCGGACUGAGAGGUUGGCCGGCCACACUGGAACUGAGACACGGUCCAGACUCCUACGGGAGGCAGCAGUAGGGGAAUCUUGCACAAUGGGCGAAAGCCUGAUGCAGCAACGCCGCGUGGGGGAUGAAGCUUCUCGGAGUGUAAACCCCUUUCGACCCGGAAGAAUGCCCGCAAGGGUAUGACGGUCGGGUUAAG